rnacentral:misc_RNA from 1 species
ACAGUGACAGGAAGUAGAAAACGACGCUAUCGGUCGACACGUAAAUCAGAAAAACGCUUCCUCCUUUCCUUUUUGUUCGCUGUUUAUAAGCACAUCCUCCAUUUUGUUGUUGAACCAAAAAGGUUAAUUGUAUGUUUUGUGUAAUUAUUAAACGUUAAUGUUAUAAGAAAAUGAGUGAUUAUUCUGCGGUUGCUCCGCCACCACAAAAUUUUAAUCAAUCUACAGCAUUCGCAGCGGCUGUUCAACGUGCUAAACAGAUUGCGGCUAAAAUUAAUCCAGGAACCACCGGCAACGAUAGUAGGCCGAAACGACCUUUAGAGGAAGUGGCAGAUGAGUUUGAUGUAGAACCGGAUGCGAAAAAAGGACCAGCUUCUUUGUUAUCUUCACAACUAGUUCCCCCUGGUAUGGGAAGACCUCCACAGAACCAAGGAAUGGGUGGUGGAGGCCCCCCUGGCAUGCAGCAAAUGAGCGAAGACAUUAAAGUUCCAGAUAAAAUGGUUGGCUUAAUAAUAGGUCGUGGAGGUGAACAGAUAACAAGAUUGCAAUCUGAGACUGGUUGUAAGAUACAAAUGGCGCCUGAUUCUCAGGGUAUGUCAGACCGAAUUUGUUCAUUGUCCGGUCCCAAAGAUGCCGUAGAAAGAGCCAAACAACUCAUCAUUGAUAUUAUUCGGCACAGGGGUGGACCUCCCGGUGUUAGCGACGAUGAAAUGUCAUAUCAAAACAACCAUUCCGAUUUUCAAGGAAUCACCAAUAUGGGCGGUCCAGGAGGCCCUGGUGGCGGCCCAGGCCCCGGCGGCCGCAAUUCCAUCGAAAUCAUGCUUCCCGGACCAAAAGUAGGACUGAUCAUCGGCAAAGGAGGUGAGACCAUCAAACAGCUGCAAGAAAAAAGUGGCGCGAAAAUGGUCGUAAUUCAAGACGGUCCCAAUCAAGAACACGAGAAGCCCCUGGUAAUCAGCGGUGAACCUCAAAAGGUAGAGCAUGCCAAACAGCUAGUAUAUGACCUGAUGGCUGAAAAGGAGAUGAAGAGUUUCAACAGAGGCGGCCCAAGAGGACGUCAGAACCAGGGACAAAACGAUGGAGGUGGUUAUGGCAAUAAUGAUUAUGGCGGUGGAGGCGGUGGUGGCGAACAGAUGGAAGUCUUAGUACCACGACCGGCCGUUGGUGUUGUAAUAGGAAAAGGUGGAGACAUGAUUAAGAAAAUCCAAGCCGAAACAGGUGCGAAAGUACAGUUCCAACAGGCUCGCGAUGAAGGCCCCGGUGACAGAAGGUGUUACUUGUCGGGAAAUCCCAAACAAGUUGAACAGGCCCGUCAGAGGAUAGACGAACUCAUAGACAGUGUGCUACAGCGUGACGGUGACGGUGGUGGUAUGGGUGCUCCUAUGGGAGGCGGUAUGCGCGGAGGCCGUGGCGGCGGUCGCGGUGGACGAGGCGGCCAUCACGGUGGACGUGGUGGUGGCGGCCAAGGCGGUUUCGAUAGGGGCGAUCGAAACGGCGGUGGUGGGGACUUCGGUGGUGGCGGUAAUCAGUGGGAAGAUAGACGAGGCGGUGGCGGCGGACCAGGUGGACAAGGUAACGGUCAACAGGACGUUGUUUCGUUUACGGUGCCGGCUAAUAAAUGUGGAGUUAUUAUUGGUAGAGGCGGUGAAACAAUAAAACAAAUCAAUCAACAAUCUGGUGCAUAUUGCGAGUUAGAUAGGCGAGCUCAAAAUCAGAAUCCUACCGCGAACGACAAAGUAUUUAAUAUCAAAGGCGAUCCCGAUUCGAUUGAAACUGCAAAACGAAUCAUCCAAGAAAAAGUACAAAUGCCUUUAACCUUCGUAUCACAAAGCGGCGGAGGUGGUGGCGGACCUCCGAUGAACAGCACCAUGCCAACAGCAUACCCAGGCAUGACUCCACAGAAUUACAAUCCUCAGAAUAAUUGGGGAAUGCAAGGAGGUGGUGGUGGUGGUGGAGUUGCAGGGGCUGGUGGUUAUCAACAACAGCAACAGUGGGGAGGUCAACCACAAGGUGCUGAUUCACAACCAGGUCAACCCAACAAAGUACAAGUAAACCCAUCGACAGGCCAACCAGAUUAUUCCAUGCAGUGGGCAGAGUAUUAUAGAUCUUUAGGUAUGCACAGAGAAGCCGAAAUGAUUGAACAACAGGCGAAGGCGAAAACUGCAGGAGGAUCUAUGCAAACGGCUCCUACUCCAGCCCAGCCGGCUGCGUCCACCCAAAGUGCUAAUCCCUCGUCUCAGGCUGAUUAUAGUGCCCAGUGGGCCGAAUAUUACAGGAGUAUGGGUAAACAUAAGGAAGCUGAAGCUAUUGAAGCACAGAUGAAAACUAAAGGGCCAAUGCCAGGAGCGGCGGGUGGAGCAGCGACUGGACAGACGCCAGCUGCACCAGGAACUCAACCUGGUGGAUACUCCCAAGCCCAAGCACCUUAUGGAGGUUACCAACCGCAAGCUGCAGCUGGUGGCUAUUAUGGCGGUCAACCCCAAUCAGCUCCAGUCCCUGGAGGAGUACCCCAAGGCGGCUAUGGUUUCCCAUCUUACGGUUACGGAGGCCAACAGCAAGCACCGCCACAAUCUCAGGAUUAAUCAAGAAAAUAAGUGGGAACCGAGUCGUCCUAAAUGAAAUUUGGAAAGACAGGCUUCGCAACAGCCAGAUAUUUGCCAUCAACAAAAAAUACUCAGAGACAUGGUAAAUGGUGGGGUUCGGAGGACGGGAUGAACGUAAAGUGAACUUUGAAGGUAAUAUGACAAUUUGGUUUGCUUGGAAUCAAGAUUUUCGCCAGUGACAAUAAAUCAUGAACUCGUGAGGUCAUCAUGAAUGUGGCUUGUUCUCAUGAAAUACAUUUCAGUUGCUCUGAUUACUUCGAUGAUUUUUUGGAAUCAAAACCACAAUUUUAUUAACACAUUUUUUACUCUACUUCUACGAAUUACAUAAAAUGCAUUAUUUUGAAUAAAGAUUUUUAGAAUA